GAUGAAGAACGUAGCGAAAUGCGAUACUUGGUGUGAAAUGCAGAAUCCCGUGAAUCAUCGAGUCUUUGAACGCAAGUUGCGCCCGAAGCCAUUAGGCCGAGGGCACGCCUGCCUGGGCGUCACACGUCGUUGCCCCCCCAUCUACUCCUUCGGGAUUGCGGGGGGCGGAUGAUGGCCUCCCGUGCGCCUCGCCGCGCGGUUGGCAUAAAUGCCAAGUCCUCGGCGACGUACGCCACGACAAUCGGUGGUUGCGAAACCUCGGUUGCCCGUCGUGUGCGGUCGUCGCGCAUCGAGGGCUCGAAAAAAUUGCCGGGCUCCGGCUCGGCUUUCAACGCGACCCCAGGUCAGGCGGGGUUACCCGCUGAAUUUAAGCGUAUCAAUAAGCGGAGGA
rnacentral:misc_RNA from 1 species